rnacentral:rRNA from 1 species
CCCUGCAGUUCUUCCCUGGUGUCCCACUGAAGCUAAGCAGCAUUGAGCCUGGUCAGUACCUAGAUAGGAGACCUCCUGGGGAAAACCAAGGUUGCUGAUGGAA